rnacentral:lncRNA from 1 species
GGUCAGAAGGGAUAUAAUGCAAAAUGAAUCUGAGGUUGGACCUAUAUAAGAUUGGAAUGUGUCAAUUAGAAAUGUUUUUAGCUAGGUCAUAAAGUAACUCCAUUUUUUAACUUUUUGAGGAAUCUCCAUAGAUUAGAAUGUUUUGUGCUUUAAGUUUUCUGGAGUUGCUGUACUAGCUUGCAUUCCCACUAGCAGUGUAAGAGGGUUCCCCUUUCUCCUCAAUGUUUAUAGCAGCAAUGUCCACAAUUGCCAAACUAUGGGAAGAGCCCAGAUGCCCAUUGACAGAUGAAUGGAUAAAAUAGUUAUAUAUAUAUAUAUAUAAUGGAAUAGUUAUAUAUAUAUAAAAUGGAAUAUUACUCAGCCAUCAAGAAAAAUGAAAUCUUCCCAUUUGCAAUGACAUAGAUGGAACUAGAAGGUAUUAUGCUAAGCAAAAUAAGUUAAUCAGAGAAAGUGAAUUGUAUUAUUUCACUCACAAGUGGAAUUUCAAAACCGAGGAGCACAGAGGAAAGGAGGGAAAAAUAAAACAAGAUGUAAUCAUAGAGGGAGAUAAACCAUAAGGGACUCUUAACCAUAGGGAAAACACAGGGUUGCUGGACAGGAGUGGGUGUGGAGGGGUAACUGGGUGAUGGGCAUUAAGGAGGGCACAUGAUAUACUGAGCACUGGGUGUUAUAUAAAACUGAUGAAUCACUGAACUGCACCUCUGAAACAAUACACUAUAUAUUAACUGAAUUUAAAUUAAAAAAGAUAAUUUCCCAUUUAAAAAAAUGGUUUGUUUUCUCAAAAUUCUCAGAGGUAUAUGGUUACUAGUUUUGAUUUAGUGGCCAAAGAAUGUCAUCUGUGAGGCAGGUUCUUUGACCAUUUUCUUGCCCUGACAUCUUUAACAUAGUGGUUUUUCAUCUUUAUGCUUUUCACCUCAUAUUUGCCACAGAUCCAUAUCCCAUUAACUACUGUUCUGAACAAGAGAAAAAGGAAGGGGCUUAAAAAGCUUCCCAGAUUUCCCAUUACAUCUUACUGGCCCAAACUGGAUCACAUGGCCAUCUUCAGAGAAAAGGAUGGAAAAAUAUAUGGACAAGAAAAAAAGGAGUGACAUGACAGAUCAAAAAAAAAAAAAAAAAAAGUAUGACUGAUCCCCCUGAGCUGGGCAUAUUGCUGCCUUACAUGAAAUCAGUGCUCCAUCAAUAAGGAAGAAGGGUUAAAUAACCAUCAGGUGAGCAAUUAACAAUGACUUGCAAUCCACUUUUGAAAUUUAAGAAGAGUUCUAGGGAUGCCUGGGUGGCUCAGCAGUUGAGCGUCUGCCUUUGGCUCAGGUCAUAAUCCCAGGGUCCGGAGAUCAAAUCCCGCACCAGGAUCCUUGCAGGAAGCCUGCUUCUCCUCUGCCUGUGUCUGUGCCUCUCUCUGUGUCUCUCAUGAAUAAAUAAAUUUAAAAAAAAAAAAAAGAAGAAGAGUUCUUGUGGGGAAAAAAUGCCCAUAUUAUUCAGUUAUACCUCUAGGUUUGUAGAUUUAUUUACCCUGCCUUCUUAGGUUUCAAGGAAACCCUAAUUCCUGAAAAUGACGUGCUUUAAAAACUACAGACUCAGAUUCAGAAGCUACUAAAUUUCUUCCUGUAGUUUUGUAGACUUUACCUAAAUCGCAAAUUACAUUUCAAAAGAAAGAACUUAAAACCUUAUUCAUAUAAAACCUCUCUUAAUACACUGAAUACAUUUUCAACUCAAUGAGCAAAUAACUGCUGUCAUUCUUAAGUAUUACAAGGCCAUUCAAUCAUUCAUGCCACCAACACUGAAUACUUUGAGGUAGCAAAGUGUCUUGUUAGUCAAUACUAGUUUGACCACUGGCUUCCAGUCGGGUUUGUUUUUAUAAUGCUUGCAGACAUGGCCCGCACUCACUCUGAUAAUUCCGAGAUAAAUCCCCAUUCCUCCUCUUGCACAGACUGCAUCUCUAGUGAAGAGUACUGUACACCUGUCACAUGCAUCACUGGAAUGUGACUCCAGAUAGUCCCACUCUGAAUGAAUCCCUGUGGCUCACUUCUGAGGGGAGACGAGGGAAAGAGAAGCUACCUCUUUUUCUAACACAUUCUACAACAUUCCUUGAGGGUCUUCCCUAAUCAAGAGUCAGACCGCUGCUUAUGUCUCACCUUUAAUUUCCUCUGAAAGAAACAGGAAAAUAAGAACAAUUUUUCCUCCCUCUAGAGAACUCAAACUGAGGAAAUAAGUAGCAAAAAAAGUGGUAGAACAGCACAGUCCCGGGAAGGUAAGAAACAGGAGGGAGGGGAGCUGGAAAUGUGUGUUUAUGGUUUCUUCUCACCCAUCCUUUUCGGCACCCCACCCCCGUAAUGACCAACAAUAGGAUUACUUCAUGCUUUAAACUUCUGCAGACUUUUGGCACCAAUCCAUCCCUACAGCCACAGCAUUCUCCUGUGUGACCAAAAUAAUCUGAAAAGAACUCUCAUUUAAGGAGUUGAAUGAUAACUGAGAAAAGUUUAAUAGACACUGAGGAAGAAGGCCUCAGAAACUGCCUGGUCCAAAUUAAGGGAAAGAGAAAGUAAUAAUCUUGGAUGAUUUCUGCUAAUACAGGGGCACAGGUCCACCUGUGGAGGGCUGCUGAGGCCUAUAUGUCGUGUGCCAAGAUCAGGAAAAAACCUAUUAACCACAGCCUGGGGUUUUCUUACAAGAUUAGAAUGUUUUGUGCUUUAGGGUGGGGGCAGAGCGUGUGGGCACUAAACUGAAUAAAAAACUAAGCAAGCAAGCUGCAGGGACCUGUGAGCUGGAGGAAAAAAUACAAAUUGCACCUGAGCUGAUGCCUCUGCUGUGGACCAGAUGGGGUAUGUGUGUACAUGUUGUUAUUGAGAUUUUCAGGUCUGUGAGGACAAAGCAUAAAAGUCCAAUACGUUAUUUCACUGAGGACACAUCUGGAGGAGGGAAGAGGGGGAAAGAAAUUGGAGAAAGCAAUAGGAAAUAGGAAAUGAGUUCUUGCCCCUUCCAUGCAGCCACCACAAGUCAGGUGACAUCAUGGGGUUAUUGAGAAGAGGUUGACUGUCUUGAAUUGAAAGGCCACAUGUGUGCAAUUAUCCUAUGUCUUAGGCAGAAGGCACUAAGAAAGGCAGAGCUAUAUCAAAAGUCACUGUCACUGAAAAUGGUUAUCCCAUUUUCCUGAUUGCAGGAGAGCCAGCCACUUUACCAGGUGCCACCAAAGGGAGCACUGGAGUAUUCACAUUCAAGGAGCAUAGUCAAGGACCAGCCAGCAGAAAAAGGGCAGGAGGCACAGGGGCAGGCAGUGGGGAGGAGCAAGACAAGGUCAGACAUAAAGAUUCCGAGGCUGGGAAGGCAGAGAAAGGAGAUACAGCAGAGAAGGAGGAGAGAGAGGCCAUGUCAAAGAGCAAGGAAGGAUUACCAGGCAGGCGUUCCUUCUUCCAAUUAAAUCACUCACUCUUCCCUCAGUGUAAAGCAGCACACAUCCCUAUUCGCCACAGUUGGAAGCUUACGGCUACACAGGCUACAUACUGCCUGGCGGCACUCCUAGGACAUGGCCAAGAUCCUGUUCCUCCUCUGCUUCCAGAAGUUACAGAUCAACAUCAACCUCCUUUCUUUGUAGUUACCUUUUCCAUAACUGCAGGGCAACGGCAAAGUCACUGACAGCUGAAACAGAAACACAGCUUCAAUCCCGGGUUGAAGGAAGC